rnacentral:lncRNA from 1 species
CAAGGAAGGUCCGAAAAGAAAAAGACAAGAAUGGAGGUAUGCCUGGUGCAUUAUUUUGAUAAUCGAAUCGCCUUUAGCAGGCAUUUUCAAUUAUGCAUUGAUUUGAAGCUGAUGUGUGUUUAAACAUUUGUGUUGUAUUUUCUGGAACGAAGAGAAUGUAAAUAUGACCAGAAGACUUCGAAAGACUUUUUGAAGGUCGAUUAUAUUUCUGAUAUCAUUUUUUCUCGAGUACUGAAAUUUAUCCUCUUCAACGUAGAAAGGAGAUUCUGAGCAACCCUUCUAAACUGGAAUGAUAGUGUAAGCAGUUAUUUUCUUCAUUAUAAUACUUGUCUAACUCUUGCAAAAUAUAGAUAAACAUGUGUUGGCUAUUUUGUUUGAGAUUGCUCGAAAGAUAGGUUUUUGGCAUUGCAGGUUCAUGUUAACUCCAGACAGAAAUUUUGUACAAGUACUAUUAAAUUGUAGUACAUGCAAUGCAAGUUUGAGAGGAGAUACUUGCCGAGAUUUGUGCUAAGCUUUCAACUCCAAAACGUCUCAAGUAGCUUGUAGAACAUUUCUUCCGAUCCUAGAGGCAAUGGUGUACUGUGUUGCUUUACGGUGGGGUGGGAAAAAUAUGCAGGGAAUAUGCAGGGGCUAAAAUUAUAGUUGUUGAGGAUACAUAUUUUUUUAGUUCAUUAAUUAAGGGUUGCCUGUCAUUUGAGUCUACGAGUUCUCAUGUUGAUAUAUCACUCAUUACCACUUGAUUCAAUUCUUAUAUAUUUUAGCAAUUCAAUUCUUAUAUAUUUUAGCAAUUCUUAUAAAUUUCAUUGGUGCAUGAAUUAUCGAAUUUAGACAUGAACAUUUUACCCUUUUAUACCCACAUAACUCAAUUUUACUGUUCUGAGAUAUGCAUUUUGAGGCAUUUGAACAUGUUUUUGUUAUCUAUUUUCACUGACAACUUUUAGUUAAUGGUUGCUAUUAUUAAAUGGUCAAGCAAUUAAGUUUUGUUUUUGAUUCUUUUUUCCCAUUUCUUGCAUACCCUUUUUUCUACUAAUUUCAUAUGUGCAUAAAUGGUCGAAUUUAGACUUUAACAUUUCAUCUUUUUUCCCCCCCUCUAUCCUAUAGCUCAUUUUAACUAUUUUAUGAUACCUGCUCUGAAACAUCUGAACAUUUGUUGAUUAUCUAUCUUCAGUUGAAUAUUAUGUAAUGGUUGCAGCUAUCAGAUGACCGAGCAAAUACGUUAGGUUUUUAAUCAUUUUUCUAUGUUUCUAGCACGCCAUUCCUUCUAUUGCUACAUUAAAGUUUCUACUGGAUUCUCUCCUCUCUUCAUAGUUAUUUUAUUUCACAGCAGUUUUGUUCGCAUUGUUUUUUGCGUCUAUGAUCUAUCUGUGUUUUAUUGUGCUAUAAAAGGUACUACUAGAUUUCUCUCCUCUCUUCAUAGUUCUAUUUAUUCUCACGGCAGUUUUGUUGACAUUGUUUUUUGCCUCUGUCUAUCUGUGUUUUAUUGUGCUAUAAAAUCUCAAUGUGCUAUGUUUUUUGAAUUUGGUUUUUUAGUAAGUAAUUUCAAUCCUUGGUGUAUUCAUGUGCUUAAGCUUGAUGAACUAAUCAUCACUACUAAAAGAAGAGUGUGUUGGUUUUGGCACUGUUUACAUGGAUGCGUGCCAAGUUACAGUUUGCCUUUUUUUUUUUGGUUCCAUAUUUUCAUCCAAUACGUCAUCGUAUUGUACUUGACUUUUCUUUUCUUUCAAGCCAUUUCUCGUUACUCUCUCUGAAAAUCUCUUUGAUAUGUUUCAUCUCUCUUUCUUCUCUGUUGUUCUCCAUUUCCCCAUGCAACUACCGAUGUGUCUUUCACUUUCCCUAUAUUAAACUUACGAUUUUUGUGAAAUGCUUAGCUUUUAAAAUUUAGGGAAUUUUUGGUUUUUUUGGUGUGUGUGUGUGAGUUAAUGAUUUUGAGGUUCAGGUAAUUGGUUCGACUUAGACUACGGAGACAUCUUUUCAUCAACGAAUGAUUCACCGAAAGUGGAGGACAUGGUAAAUGAUGCUGUGGCGAAGGAAUCUGCGACGGAUGAGGUUUGAUCUGUUGAUCUAGCCAUCGAUUAUGGUGCAAAGCAAUUGGAUGUGAAGAUAUCGCCAAAGGCAGCGGUGGAAGGUGAGCCUUUGAGUUCUCCGAUAACUAUAGGUAUGAUUUCUAUAUCUACACGUGCUUUAUCAUGGUUUUUUUUUUUUUUCAAUAUUCUUUAGUGGCUCCCUUCUGGAAAUAUGUUUGGGUUAGUAUAUUCAGUUCUGGGUUUUUAUUAAUCUUCGGUGAAUUGUAUAGUGGACUUGAUGCUAUUCUUUGAUGCUUU